CAGUCGCCGCGGUAAUACGUAGGGUGCAAGCGUUACUCGGAAUUACUGGGCGUAAAGCGUGCGUAGGCGGUUUGUUAAGUCUGUUGUGAAAUCCCCGGGCUCAACCUGGGAAUGGCAAUGGAUACUGGCAAGCUAGAGUGUGUCAGAGGAUGGUGGAAUUCCCGGUGUAGCGGUGAAAUGCGUAGAGAUCGGGAGGAACAUCAGUGGCGAAGGCGGCCAUCUGGGACAACACUGACGCUGAGGCACGAAAGCGUGGGGAGCAAACAGGAUUAGAUACCCGAGUAGUCCCUGUCUCUUAUAA
rnacentral:rRNA from 1 species